AUUGGUCAAUGGACGGAAGUCUGAACCAGCCAUGCCGCGUGCAGGAAGACGGCCCUACGGGUUGUAAACUGCUUUUGCAGGGGAAUAAACCUUCGUAUGUAUACGAAGCUGAAUGUACUCUGAGAAUAAGGAUCGGCUAACUCCGUGCCAGCAGCCGCGGUAAUACGGAGGAUCCAAGCGUUAUCCGGAUUUAUUGGGUUUAAAGGGUGCGUAGGCGGCCUAUUAAGUCAGGGGUGAAAGACGGUAGCUUAACUAUCGCAGUGCCUUUGAUACUGAUGGGCUUGAAUGAACUAGAGGUAGGCGGAAUGUGACAAGUAGCGGUGAAAUGCAUAGAUAUGUCACAGAACACCAAUUGCGAAGGCAGCUUACUAUGGUUUAAUUGACGCUGAGGCACGAAAGCGUGGGGAUCAAACAGGAUUAGAUACCCUGGUAGUCCACGCCCUAAACGAUGAACACUCGAUGUUAGCGAUAUACAGUUAGCGUCUAAGCGAAAGCGUUAAGUGUUCCACCUGGGGAGUACGCCCGCAAGGGUGAAACUCAAAGGAAUUGACGGGGGCCCGCACAAGCGGAGGAGCAUGUGGUUUAAUUCGAUGAUACGCGAGGAACCUUACCCGGGCUUGAAAGUUAGUGAAUGAUUCAGAGACGGAUCAGUCCUUCGGGACACGAAACUAGGUGCUGCAUGGCUGUCGUCAGCUCGUGCCGUGAGGUGUUGGGUUAAGUCCCGCAACGAGCGCAACCCCUAUGUUUAGUUGCCAGCAUGUCAUGAUGGGGACUCUAAACAGACUGCCUACGCAAGUAGAGAGGAAGGAGGGGACGACGUCAAGUCAUCAUGGCCCUUACGUCCGGGGCUACACACGUGCUACAAUGGAUGGUACAGAGGGCAGCUACCUGGCAACAGGAUGCCAAUCUCACAAAGCCAUUCACAGUUCGGAUCGGGGUCUGCAACUCGACCCCGUGAAGUUGGAUUCGCUAGUAAUCGCGUAUCAGCAAUGACGCGGUGAAUACGUUCCCGGGCCUUGUACACACCGCCCGUCAAGCCAUGGAAGCUGGAAGUACCUGAAGUGCGUAACCGCAAGGAGCGUCCUAGGGUAAAGUCGGUAACUGGGGCUAAGUCGUAACAAGGUAGCCGUACCGGAAGGUGCGGCUG
rnacentral:rRNA from 1 species